UACAGAGGAUGCAAGCGUUAUCCGGAAUGAUUGGGCGUAAAGGGUCCGCAGGUGGAAGGGUAAGUCUGCUGUCAAAGAAUGAGGCUUAACCUUAUCAAGGCAGUGGAAACUACACAGCUAGAGUACGGUCGGGGUAGAAGGAAUUCCUGGUGUAGCGGUGAAAUGCGUAGAGAUCAGGAAGAACACCGGUGGCGAAGGCGGCUCUCUGGACCGAUACUGACGCUGAGGCGCGAAAGCGUGGGGAGCAAACAGG
rnacentral:rRNA from 1 species